rnacentral:sRNA from 1 species
GGUGGUCUAGAGUAAGGCGUGAUGAGACCUAAAGGUAUUGGAAGCUCAAUUUGAAAGGCCUCAAAUGCAAUUUGAGGCCUUUCCAUUUGGGCUUCUGAUACUUUUAGGUUUUGUAAGGUUAGUGGGAGCCACUGAAGGUGUUAUGAAGGACAGCAGCUAAUGUCCACAUGCACAUUCAGACACAUGCACAGACACAGCAUACUUCCUGCUGUACAUACUUUGAAACCAAAGUGGAAAUUCAGGUUCUGAACUUGUGUGAGGCCCUUGAGGUGCAGCCCCAGGGAAAGAGGGGCUGGGUUUCCAGCUGCGCUACUCUUGCCCCGCAGACAUAGAUGAGUGCAGCCAGGACCCGAGCCUGUGCCUUCCCCAUGGGGCCUGCAAGAACCUUCAGGGCUCCUAUGUGUGUGUCUGCGAUGAGGGCUUCACUCCCACCCAGGACCAGCACGGUUGUGAGGAGGUGGAGCAGCCCCACCACAAGAAGGAGUGCUACCUGAACUUCGAUGACACAGUGUUCUGCGACAGCGUAUUGGCCACCAACGUGACCCAGCAGGAGUGCUGCUGCUCUCUGGGGGCCGGCUGGGGCGACCACUGCGAAAUCUACCCCUGCCCAGUCUACAGCUCAGCCGAGUUCCACAGCCUCUGCCCAGACGGAAAGGGCUACACCCAGGACAACAAUAUCGUCAACUACGGCAUCCCAGCCCACCGUGACAUCGACGAGUGCAUGUUGUUCGGGUCGGAGAUUUGCAAGGAGGGCAAGUGCGUGAACACGCAGCCUGGCUACGAGUGCUACUGCAAGCAGGGCUUCUACUACGACGGGAACCUGCUGGAAUGCGUGGACGUGGACGAGUGCCUGGACGAGUCCAACUGCCGGAACGGAGUGUGUGAGAACACGCGCGGCGGCUACCGCUGUGCCUGCACGCCCCCUGCCGAGUACAGUCCCGCGCAGCGCCAGUGCCUGAGCCCGGAAGAGAUGGACGUGGACGAGUGCCAGGACCCGGCAGCCUGCCGCCCUGGCCGCUGCGUCAACCUGCCGGGCUCCUACCGCUGCGAGUGUCGCCCGCCCUGGGUGCCCGGGCCCUCCGGCCGCGAUUGCCAGCUCCCCGAGAGCCCGGCCGAGCGUGCCCCGGAGCGGCGCGACGUGUGCUGGAGCCAGCGCGGAGAGGACGGCAUGUGCGCUGGCCCCCUGGCCGGGCCUGCCCUCACCUUCGACGACUGCUGCUGCCGCCAGGGCCGCGGCUGGGGCGCCCAAUGCCGACCGUGCCCGCCGCGCGGCGCGGGGUCCCAUUGCCCGACAUCGCAGAGCGAGAGCAAUUCCUUCUGGGACACGAGCCCCCUGCUGUUGGGGAAGCCCCCAAGAGAUGAGGACAGUUCAGAGGAGGAUUCAGACGAGUGUCGCUGCGUGAGUGGCCGCUGCGUGCCGCGGCCGGGCGGCGCCGUGUGCGAGUGUCCUGGCGGCUUCCAGCUCGACGCCUCCCGCGCCCGCUGCGUGGAUAUCGACGAGUGCCGAGAGCUGAACCAGCGCGGGCUGCUGUGCAAGAGCGAGCGCUGCGUGAACACCAGCGGCUCCUUCCGCUGCGUCUGCAAAGCUGGCUUCGCGCGCAGCCGCCCGCACGGGGCCUGCGUUCCCCAGCGCCGCCGCUGACGCCGCCCUCGGCCCAGACCUCGGUGAUCACUGAGGGAUUUCCGCGAGCUCGGCCUCACUUCUGCCCCGACUUGUGGCUCGGACCCAGGGACCUUCGGGGCCCGCAGACCCUCCCGGCGCCUUGAGACCCGAGGCGCCCCUACCGGCCCCCCUCCCCGGUUAGCGGGCGGUUGUAAGGUCUCCGGCGGGCGCUGCUUGCCUUCCUCCCAGAGGGUGUUUCCUAGAAACUGAUAAAUCAGAUCGUGCCUCUUUAC